UUUUUAAUGAUGAUAAAAAAAGUCAAAGCAAGUAGGGACAUGAGAAUAUUAAAUAUGUUCGUCUUAAUAUGUUGUCUGAAAAAA
rnacentral:snoRNA from 1 species